rnacentral:rRNA from 1 species
UACGGGGGGAGCAAGCGUUGUUCGGAUUUACUGGGCGUAAAGGGCGCGUAGGCGGUCGUGACAAGUCACUUGUGAAAUCUCCGGGCUUAACUCGGAACGGUCAAGUGAUACUGUCGGACUAGAGUACAGAAGGGGCAACUGGAAUUCUCGGUGUAGCGGUGAAAUGCGUAGAUAUCGAGAGGAACACCUGCGGCGAAGGCGGGUUGCUGGGCUG